CCCUUAGAUGUUCUGGGCCGCACGCGCGCUACACUGAUGCAUUCAACGAGUGUACCUUGGCCGAGAGGCCUGGGCAAUCUUUUGAACGUGCAUCGUGAUAGGGAUAGAUUAUUGCAAUUAUUAAUCUUGAACGAGGAAUUCCUAGUAAACGCAGAUCAUCAAUCUGCAUUGAUUACGUCCCUGCCCUUUGUACACACCGCCCGUCGCACCUACCGAUUGGAUAGUCCGGUGAAGCCUCGGGAUUGUGGCGGUUGCCUUUAUUGGUGGCCGCCGCGAGAACUUGUCUAAACCUUAUCAUCUAGAGGAAGGUGAAGUCGUAACA
rnacentral:rRNA from 1 species